AAACCAACAGGGAUUGCCCCAGUAACGGCGAGUGAAGCGGCAACAGCUCAAAUUUGAAAUCUGGGCCCCUCCGCGGGGUCCCGAGUUGUAAUUUGCAGAGGAUGCUUCUGGCGCGGCGCCUUCCGAGUUCCCUGGAACGGGACGCCACAGAGGGUGAGAGCCCCGUCCGGUCGGACGCCCAGCCUGUGUGAAGCACCUUCGACGAGUCGGGUAGUUUGGGAAUGCUGCCCUAAAUGGGAGGUAUAUGUCUUCUAAAGCUAAAUACCGGCCAGAGACCGAUAGCGCACAAGUAGAGUGAUCGAAAGAUGAAAAGCACUUUGAAAAGAGGGUUAAACAGUACGUGAAAUUGUUGAAAGGGAAGCGCUCGUGACCAGACUUGGGCCCGGGGGAUCACCCGGCGUUCUCUCGCCGGGGCACUUCGCCGGCUGCCCAGGCCAGCAUCAGUUCGCGGCGGGGGACAAAGGCUUCGGGAACGUGGCUCCCUACGGGGAGUGUUACAGCCCGCUGCGCAAUGCCCUGCCGCGGACUGAGGUUCGCGCUUCCGCAAGGAUGCUGGCGUAAUGGUCAUCAGCGAC
rnacentral:rRNA from 1 species